rnacentral:tRNA from 1 species
AUUCAUAUAGUUUAAUUGAAAACAUUUUAUUUUCAUUAAAAAAACAGUCUAAAAACUUAUGAAUU